UACGGGGGGGGCAAGCGUUGUUCGGAAUUACUGGGCGUAAAGGGCUCGUAGGCGGCCAACUAAGUCAUACGUGAAAGCCCGGGGCUCAACCCCGGGAGGCGGGCGGAUACUGUCGGGCUAGAGUCCGGAAGAGGCGAGUGGAAUUCCUGGUGUAGCGGUGAAAUGCGCAGAUAUCAGGAGGAACACCGGUGGCGAAGGCGGGUCUCUGGGCCGAUACUGACGCUGAGGAGCGAAAGCGUGGGGAGCGAACAGG
rnacentral:rRNA from 1 species